rnacentral:rRNA from 1 species
CAGCAGCCACGGUAAUACGUAGGGGGCAAGCGUUGUCCGGAAUUAUUGGGCGUAAAGCGCGCGCAGGCGGUUCUUUAAGUCUGGUGCAUAAGUGCGGGGCUCAACCCCGUGAGGCACUGGAAACUGGGAAACUUGAGUGCAGAAGAGGAGAGUGGAAUUCCACGUGUAGCGGUGAAAUGCGUAAAGAUGUGGAGGAACACCAGUGGCGAAGGCGACUCUCUGGUCUGUAACUGACGCUGAGGAGCGAAAGCGUGGGGAGCGAACAGGAUUAGAUACCCCGGUAGUCCCUGUCUCUUAUACA